GACGAACCGUGCAAACGUUGUUCGGAAUCACUGGGCUUAAAGGGCGCGUAGGCGGGCAAGCAAGUCGAAGGUGAAAUCCCACGGCUCAACCGUGGAAGUGCCCCCGAUACUGCUUGUCUUGAGGGAGAUAGGGGCGUGCGGAACUUCCGGUGGAGCGGUGAAAUGCGUAGAUAUCGGAAGGAACACCGGUGGCGAAGGCGGGUCUCUGGGCCGUAACUGACGCUGAGGAGCGAAAGCAUGGGGAGCGAACAGG
rnacentral:rRNA from 1 species